GGGGGGAGUAGAGGGGCGGAGCUGAGGGAGUGGCAGUUUUCCAGGAAAAACCCUAAAAAUUACGAGCCAACAUAGAACUAAGUGACCUAAGUGAUGUCUAAGGAUGGGAGCGUAGUCCAGUGCAUACUUGGAUCCUUUUUGCUUUUCACC